rnacentral:rRNA from 1 species
UGGGGAAUAUUGCACAAUGGGCGCAAGCCUGAUGCAGCGACGCCGCGUGAGGGAUGGAGGCCUUCGGGUUGUAAACCUCUUUCGCCAGUGAAGCAGGCCAUCUUCUUUGUGGGGUGGUUGACGGUAGCUGGAUAAGAAGCGCCGGCUAACUACGUGCCAGCAGCCGCGGUAGUACGUAGGGCGCGAGCGUUGUCCGGAAUUAUUGGGCGUAAAGAGCUCGUAGGCGGCUGGUCGCGUCUGUCGUGAAAUCCCCUGGCUUAACUGGGGGCUUGCGGUGGGUACGGGCCGGCUUGAGUGCGGUAGGGGAGACUGGAAUUCCUGGUGUAGCGGUGGAAUGCGCAGAUAUCAGGAGGAACACCGGUGGCGAAGGCGGGUCUCUGGGCCGUUACUGACGCUGAGGAGCGAAAGCGUGGGGAGCGAACAGG